GCAACUCGACUCCAUGAAGCUGGAUUCGCUAGUAAUCGCGCAUCAGCCAUGGCGCGGUGAAUACGUUCCCGGGCCUUGUACACACCGCCCGUCAAGCCAUGGAAGCCGGGAGUGCCUGAAGUGUGCAACCGCAAGGAGCGCCCUAAGGUAAAACUGGUGACUGGGGCUAAGUCGUAACAAGGUAAC
rnacentral:rRNA from 1 species